UGUGUAGGCGGUGUUCCAAGUCUGGUGUGAAAUCUCCCGGCUUAACUGGGAGGGUGCGCCGGAAACUGGAAUGCUCGAGGGUGGGAGAGGUAAGCGGAAUUCCUGGUGUAGCGGUGAAAUGCGUAGAUAUCAGGAGGAACACCUGUGGUGUAGACAGCUUACUGGACCACUUCUGACGCUGAGACACGAAAGCGUGGGUAGCAAACA
rnacentral:rRNA from 1 species